GCGAUCUUCCUCUGCUGCUCGCUCGCCAGUUACUUUUGGCAGAAGGUGGGCGGAUCCAGUUGGGGUUUCUGUUAAUACACAUGAUUGGUUAAGGUCCCUGUCUUCUGUGAUUGGCCGGCUUCAGAAGAAAGGCGGAAGAAGAAGCGUCUGCGGACUGGAGCUUGGUCUAAACAUGGUCAAAGCUAGGAAGGCAUGGCAGACCAUCAAGAGACACAGAUGCAAAAUGCUGCCAUGCGGGUAGUUGCACUAAUAAGAKGUGCCCUGGCUGAGAGUGACCCAUCUGCUCAAAACCGUAAGUGUGCUCUCAGCGUGGUGUAAGAUUAUUUAGCUGUGUCAUUCUAUAAAUAUGCCGUUUUUUUUAAUGGCUGCACAGUAAUCAUAAAAACACCACUGAUGUGAUUCACUGAAAAUUUUGCAAAUCAUAUUACACGUGAAGCUCAUAAAAAUGGACCUGCUUAUGUUUAAAAAUAGGUGAACCUGAUUUUAAGUACACUUAAAACUCACCAGUAAUUAGUCUGUGUCCUAAGAGUAAAAACUAUAAUGAAAAUAAAGCAAAUGUAAGGAGAGGAGAUUUCAGAGCACUAACUAAUGCCAUUCUUUGCUCAGACACAGUAAGCAUGUAACAGUACUGUAAUGUUA